UACGAAGGUUGCAAGCGUUGUUCGGAAUCACUGGGCUUAAAGAGCACGUAGGCGGCCCAUCAAGUACCUUGUGAAAUCCCCCGGCUCAACCGAGGAAUUGCUUGGUAUACUGUUCGGGCUUGAGGCAGGUAGGGGCACGUGGAACUCUUGGUGGAGCGGUGGAAUGCGUAGAUAUCAAGAGGAACGCCGGAGGCGAAAGCGAUGUGCUGGGCCUGUCCUGACGCUGAGGUGCGAAAGCCAGGGGAGCAAACGGG
rnacentral:rRNA from 1 species